UCCCUAAAGCAAAGGAUUCUAUCAGCUGCUUGCUUCAUUUGAAUCCAGUUGACAGUUACAUUUACUAGCUGUUCGAAGUUUUAUGGGUGACUACUGUUUAGUAUUAGUAACAUUAAGCUUCAUCUGAUUUAAGUAAAAGAAAUAUUAAGGGAAAAACGACUCUUUGGAAACCAACAUAAACAUCAUGGUAUAGGAGUUAUAUAUAUGGUAUAUGGUAUAACUCCUAUACCAUGAUAAACAUGUACCAAUCCUUUACACACAAAACAACAACAAAAGAAGAGCUUGUUAUGGUGCUGUAAUAGUAUAUUUGCAGAAUUGCAAAAUUGCUUGCCUGAAGAAUGUACUCAGGAUUGAAAAAUGUUCACAGCAAAAACGUCUAGUUUCAAUUCUAAACGUCAAAUAAACAGAUUUCCGGGCAAGCCGGUCAUGAAGGAAAUGGAAGAAUAUUCUCUGUAUUACAUGGCAAGAAGAAUACAUCCUUGACGUCACCUCUGUGCUGCAGAAAAAUCAGCAAAUCUACAUCCUAAUUUUCUGCUGUUCCGUCAGUCACUCAAAUGCUUUCGACAACAGGACAUCAGCAGCAUUCUUCAAUCAGACUGCUCCUGUUUGUUUUGAAGAUGUAUUGCUUGUCAUGCCUGAAUUACGUUGUUUCCCUACUUCAUUGGACAGCAGACUUAGAUCACAUGUCGACUGUGAAAAAGAUCAUCUUUGUUACCGAAAAUGGCUCUCUCCAUUCGCGACACCAGACCUCCCCAGUGUGUCAUUCUGAUGCAGAGCUCCAUAAAUGAAGUUGAACGUUUUGAACCAUCUCAGGCCAAAGCUGAAGUUCUAAGGUAUUAGGAAAGUAGUCGCUUUUUGGCUAGAAUUUCUACGCCAUCAGAUGCAUCAAUAGGAAUGGUGUUCACUUCCUCGACGUCAUUGCUCACAAAACUUUUAUGCAUUGUUCUUAUCUCGAAGUUAUAUCGACUUGAAAAGGCCAAUCGGAAGAGAGUACUCUUUUCCUUGACAUAAAGAACGGAAAUUUAAUGCAUUAGCAAGUCAUCCGCAUCCAACCAGAUCAAACGCUCGAGAUAUCCCGCCUCGUCCGGCAACUUACCAUCCAGCAACGCAUCCAUCAACACUAAUUGACUACAUGCCGAAUCGACGAUUUCCAUACAAGAUGAAUGUUAAAAUCCAAGGAGAUCUGGUGAGCAGGAUGCAACGGACUAUGUCAUGUCAAACCAUUAGCUGAAUACAACGAAUACCAUCAGCAUCAGCUCUCCAGAACGAGAGGUUAAUAAUCAUACUGAAUCAAAAGAGAUACCUAGUUGAACGAGAUUUUAGAAUGAUAACGACUGGAAGUGCAAGUGGAAAUUUCAAAGAACGCUACCUGCACGUUAGAUUUCAUCGCUGAUUCAUUUCGAAGAUAAAAUAAUUAAUUUUUAUAAAUUGAAGUGCAUAUCUGGGCUCCCUUCUUUUCUGUGGUCCCGUUUCCCCUUGAC